AGCAGCCGCGGUAAUUCCAGCUCCAAUAGCGUAUAUUAAAGUUGUUGCAGUUAAAAAGCUCGUAGUUGAAUUUCGGGGUUAGUAGGUUGGUCAUGCCUCUGGUAUGUACUGGUCUCACUGAUUCCUCCUUCCUGAUGAGCCGUAAUGCCAUUAAUUUGGUGUUGCGGGGAAUUUGGACUGUUACUUUGAAAAAAUUAGAGUGUUUAAAGCAGGCUUACGCUUGAAUACAUUAGCAUGGAAUAAUGAAAUAGGACGUUUGAUUCUAUUUUGUUGGUUCUAGGAUUGACGUAAUGAUUAAUAGGGAUAGUUGGGGGCAUUAGUAUUCAAUUGUCAGAGGUGAAAUUCUUGGAUUUAUUGAAGACUAACUACUGCGAAAGCAUUUGCCAAGGAUGUUUUCAUUAAUCAAGAACGAAAGUUAGGGGAUCGAAGACGAUCAGAUACCGUCGUAGUCUUAACCAUAAACUAUGCCGACUAGGGAUCGGAUGAUGUUAAUUUUUAAUGACUCAUUCGGCGCCUUAAC
rnacentral:rRNA from 1 species